AAUUCUCAACUGCCUUUUUAGCAUUUAUGUUAAGGGUGAAGUUGGAGUUGGAGGAUAAUUGCUGGCGCACAACUUAGGUUGUUUGUUAGCUCCUCCUAAAUGGAUGAGCUUUUCUGAUAGAUCAUGGCUCAGUAACACUAAUGUGAUAAUUAUCUACAUUAAAUGUGAAAGCUACGAGUAGAGUAACUUCAAUUGUGGAGAAGCUCCUAUAGAAAAGGGUAUGUCUUGGGGAUAAAUAAACCCUUGACUUGAAAUAUAAUGACAA
rnacentral:misc_RNA from 1 species